ACAGUCUGGUUGCUGGCGGCGUCGGACACAGUCUGUUGCUGGCGGCGUCGGACACAGUCUGGUUGCUGGCGGCGUCGGACACAGUCUGGUUGCUGGCGCGUCGGACACAGUCUGGUUGCUGGCGGCGUCGGACACAGUCUGGUUGCUGGCGCGUCGGACACAGUCUGGUUGCUGGCGCGUCGACACAGUCUGGUUGCUGGCGGCGUCGGACACAGUCUGGUUGCUGGCGGCGUCGGACACAGUCUGGUUGCUGGCGGCGUCGGACACAGUCUGGUUGCUGGCGCGUCGGACACAGUCUGGUUGCUGGCGGCGUCGGACACAGUCUGGUUGCUGGCGGCGUCGGACACAGUCUGGUUGCUGCGGCGUCGGACACAGUCUGGUUGCUGGCGGCGUCGGACACAGUCUGGUUGCUGGCGGCGUCGGACACAGUCUGGUUGCUGCGGCGUCGGACACAGUCUGGUUGCUGGCGGCGUCGGACACAGUCUGGUUGCUGGCGGCGUCGGACACAGUCUGGUUGCUGGCGCGUCGGACACAGUCUGGUUGCUGGCGGCGGACACAGUCUGGUUGCUGGCGGCGUCGGACACAGUCUGGUUGCUGGCGGCGUCGGACACAGUCUGGUUGCUGGCGGCGUCGGACACAGUCUGGUUGCUGGCGGCGUCGGACACAGUCUGGUUGCUGGUUUCUAGUUGUCCUUCAAUUUUAUUCAACCUGGAAUCCAGCAACUGUGAAAGUUGAAGACCUCUCCUCCAAAUAAAAUCUGUUUCAGGAGGAAAAAGUUUAUGUUUCAAGUCUGCUGUUGAAAUACUUGCAAUCAAUUUCUCACCAUCUCUUCUUCCCAGACGUUCAUAAUCAGCUUUCUGAUUCUCUCGUUCGACUGGUAAGCUCAGACCUGUGAAGAAACAAUUUAAAGGAAAGCUGUAGUCCAACAUCAGCUUUUUUUCCCCUUUAGUCUCUUGACCUUCAACAAUGUUCACAUAGACUGUCCCCACAUACCUUUGCUAAGGCAAACAGCCAGAACAAAAAGAGCCACAAAUGAAUCAGGUCCCAUCUUGACAGACGCUGAAUAAAAAUCCAACAAUCAAGAGAAGCUUUAUAGAGUUCCUCCUGCAGCUCACACAGCUGCUGGUCAUUACAUCUAAUUGUUUUUCUCCUCAGACCAACUUGACUAAGACUUGAUUGACAAUCAGGAAACAUUACAGAGUUUAAAGGUUGUGUCUUGAUUUCUUUAAGUUUAUGUGGUUCCAGGUUUUCUUUAGUAUUUGAUAGUCUUGCAGCA
rnacentral:lncRNA from 1 species